UACAAUGAUCGGUUGAAGUUUAGCGGGC
rnacentral:piRNA from 1 species